rnacentral:lncRNA from 1 species
GCGCAGCUGCACGCGCAGGGAGGCCCACAGCGUCCCGGGCCCCUCCUCCCCCGCCGCCGCCGGGGCACACCGCACCUGAACCCCACUCCCCAGGACGCCCCAUUGUUCUCCCUCCGCUUUCCUGCCCGAAGGAAGCCACGCCGUGUCUUUCCAGGGGGCCAGGAAACAGCUGUGGGCCAGAGGAAUGGAGGGGCUGUGGGUGAACACGAGGACAGCCGAGAUUCGACUCUGCCCACAGAGCCACCGCCCCCGAGCCGACUCACCUCUGGCCGCCCGGUGCCGGCUUCACAGCGCCCCCCACUCACUGACAUAAAAUGAGAAAUACAACGUUUGACAACUCGAAGCCAGCCUGGGGUCACAUUCCGGCAAACAGUGGGACCAGCAAAGCCAAGGACAGAGAGGUCUUCAGGGAAUACAUGGCUAUGGUGGUUUGAAGACUCCCAUUAGAGAGUGGAUAUUAAUUGCCCUCCUUUUGAAUAUGGUCUGGACUUAGUGAUUUGAUUGUAACAAAUAGAAUACAGCAGAUGUGAUGCUAUGUGACUUCCAAACCUAGGUCAUAAAAGGAGAUAAAGUUUUCACCUGGCUCUCCCUUGGGACACUCACCCUUGGAACCCAGCUGCCAUAUUGUGAGGAAGCUCAAGCCACAGGGAAGGCCAUGUGUAGGUGUUUGGGCUGAUGGUGCCAGCUGAGGACCCGCUCUACUGCCAGUACAACUUAUACCAAGCAUGUGAGUUGGCGAGCUUUUGAAAGAACUCCAGCCACAGUCACUGACCACGCUGCCUGAGAGACCUAGAGAGAAAACCUAGCUGAGCCAAAUCAGGCCCCGGAAACGUAAGUGAUAAUAAUAAAAGAUUGUCAUCUGGGUGGUUGUUACAUAGCAAUAGACACCUAGAACAGUGACAGAGCUGGAAUUUGAACCCAGACAGUCUGACUCUAUAGUCUUCACUAUCAAGCACACUACCUCAGACCUUGAUAACCUAGCAUAAUGAAAACCCUGGAGAUCCCAGCC